rnacentral:rRNA from 1 species
AGCUCCAAUAGCGUAUAUUAAAGUUGUUGCAGUUAAAAAGCUCGUAGUUGGAUUUCUGGCAGGAGCGGCCGGCCACGCGCUCUGCGCGUGAGUUUGUGCUGUCUCUGGCCAUCCUCGGGGAGAUCGCGUUUGGCAUUAAGUUGUCGGGCGUGGGAUACCCGUCGUUUACUGUGAAAAAAUUAGAGUGUUUAAAGCAGGCUUAUGCCGUUGAAUAUAUUAGCAUGGAAUAAUAAGAUAGGACUUCGGAACUAUUUUGUUGGUUUGCGUUACGAAGUAAUGAUUAAUAGGGACAGUUGGGGGUAUUCGUAUUUCGUUGUCAGAGGUGAAAUUCUUGGAUUUCCGAAAGACGAACUACUGCGAAAGCAUUUACCAAGGAUGUUUUCAUUAAUCAAGAACGAAA